rnacentral:rRNA from 1 species
AGUGAACGCUGGCGGCGUGCCUAAUACAUGCAAGUCGAACGGAGUGGCGCACGGGUGAGUAAUGUAUAGCUAAUCUUCCCUACACUAGAGGACAACAGUUGGAAACGGCUGCUAAUACUCUAUACUGUAGAAGGAGGCUAUAUUGUAUCAGUUAGUUGGUGAGGUAAUGGCUCACCAAGGCUAUGACGCAUAACUGGUCUGAGAGGAUGAUCAGUCACACUGGAAGGGAGACACCGUCCAGACUCCUACGGGAUGCAGCAGUAGGGAAUAUGGCUCAAUGGGGGAAACUCUGAAGCAGCAACGCCGCGUGGAGGAUGAAACUUGUAGGAGCGUAAACUCCUCUUGUUAGGGAAGCGGUACCUAACGAAUAAGCACCGGCUAACUCCGUGCCAGCAGCCGCGGUAAUUC